rnacentral:rRNA from 1 species
GACGAAGGUGGCAAGCGUUGCUCGGAAUUACUGGGCAUAAAGGGCGCGUAGGUGGCCUUGUAAGUCGGUGGUGAAAUCCUGUGGCUCAACCACAGAACUGCUAUCGAUACUGCUUGGCUCGAGGACGGGAGGGGAGAAUGGAACUCCUGGUGUAGCGGUGAAAUGCGUAGAUAUCAGGAGGAACGCCGGUGGCGAAAGCGAUUCUCUGGACUGUUCCUGACACUGAGGCGCGAAAGCUAGGGGAGCAAACAGGAUUAGAAACCCCCGUAGUCC